rnacentral:sRNA from 1 species
AGAAGACAACCAGUUGGUGGCAAUAGACGAGGAGGUGGUGCUGGUGGCGGUCCUCGUCGUGGUGGUCCCCCAAAUCGAAACAAGGCCGUAGGCGGAGGCGGAGGUAAUCCUCGUACUAACAAAACAACGCCAACAGCUGAAGAGCUCGAUGCGGAAUUGGAUGCUUAUGUCAACGAUAUGAAAAUAUAGAUAAGAACAUUUAGUUAUUUGGUAUUUAUAUUUUGUAAUUGUUAAGGCAUCAACUCCCCACUCCUAAAUAUCCGCUCAGAUACUUCAUAUAAUGUAAAGGAACAAACUAUUGUUGCUAUACAGAUCAGAGAUAUAGCCACCGUGUAGCAUGUACAAUCAAUCAUUCGAGUUGGUAACAUAUUGGGCGCACGGUUUUUAAUGUUAAUUUUGUAUUUAAAUCAAUUACAAAAUGUCUUAUCAACUACCACUUAUUUUUUUUUACUUUACAUCCCAUAUUUUAAGUUUUUUUCACUUAAACUCUUGACUUUUGCAACAAAACUUAUUUAAAAGAAAACCCAUUUACCAUAUCGGCUAGCAAACGAUCACAAUGGAAUCUAAUUUGAAAAAUAAAUAAUUUGAACUGAUUUAGCCAAAUAUUUGAUGGUAAACAAAGACAA